rnacentral:misc_RNA from 1 species
GUGAAUCAUCGAAUCUUUGAACGCAAAUUGCACUUUCUGGUAUUCCGGAAAGUAUGCCUGUUUGAGGGUCAGUUAAAUCAAAAUCGGUGUUGUUGCUGCCUUUCGUGGUGGCGCGUCGGCAUUGGGUCGUCUUUCCAUCGGUUAAGUGACUUAAAAUUUUUGCAUGAUGUUCGGACGUAUUUAAAUCGCUUACGUACGUUUGAGAUAUCGAAUACUUAAUA